GGCGCUAUAGCCAAGUGGUUACGGCGACAGAUUAGAACCAAUGAAAAAUCUGUUCCUCUUUGAGGGCGCAGGUUCAAAUCCUGCUGGCGUCG
rnacentral:tRNA from 2 species